CCAGGUUGGGCGCAAACGAGUCUUCAGGUAGCAGCUGCUCCAGGCUUGCAAGUGAUGGAGAUGAGCUUGCAGGGCUUGAAGAGUUGGUAGUCGCCAUGGCCUCAAUGCUCGCUUGUGCUGAUGCUCCUCCCAUUGGGCCUACUUAAACAGUUACAGUCAGAAGCUAUAUAGUAGUCCAAAGAAGUUCAACAGAAGUUCUAGUUAAGUCAACAAAGAUGUGCAUCCAUGGUGGAGCUAGUUAAUACACUCUUCCCAUUUAUGCUUGUGAUCUCAAGGAUGCAUGCAUAGAUAUGUACCUGAUGAAGAGCAUCUUGAAGCACUGGUGAGUAGUUAUGCUUCUGACACCGGUGCAACGAGUCAACAAUCGCGACACCCUUUUCCAGCGCUGGCGUUUGGUCAGUCCUCCUGUGCUCAAGAAAAGUUAAAGCGAGGCAGCUCUUAUCAAUUCCAUGUAGCAAAACAUUUAUUAACAUUGAAAUUGACUGUAUUACUACAUCAACAUCUCCAUAUAUGCAUUCAUGAAACCUACAAGACAGUACUAGCAGCUACUGUACUCUUAUGUUUAAGCCAUCGAUCACUGCAGUGUAUAACUAACUAAUCAAGAGCUAGCUAGCCCUUCACAUCUCA